GACGUCACACGGCGUCGGCACACCCAACGCCCCGCCCUCCAGGCACUGGGGAGGGGAAGCCAAAGGACGGAAACCGGCAAGAGACGCCGGCGCAGCCUUCCUCACUCCUCCCCAAGACUGUCAGCGCAGGCCCCGCCCCCUCAGCCAUCCAAUCGGCUCUCGGCCCCACCCUCCUCCCGCUUCCGCCGUCGCUGCAAAGCGUCAGCAUUGCCUCGCCUAGUCUUUCUUCUGCAGAUCUUUUUUGGACAGCUGCUAUGUAUCAGCACUGGGACUGCAUCAGUGAAAAAUGAUACAAACAAAAACCUCUGACUUCGUGGAGCUCAUAUUCUAACGUAUAUGCCCAGAAGUGGGAUUUCUGGAUCAUAUGGAAUACAACGUAUUACAGAAGAAUGGGAAUAGUAACAAUAUGAGAAGAUGUCCAUCGUACAUGGUUAAACAGGAAAAAUGCAGGCUGCAGAACAGGAGCUGCCCAAGCCUCACUCAGGGUUUUACAUAUGAUAUAGAAUACUUAUAUUUUUACCUAUCCAAGAGCUAAAAAGUCCUACAUUACAAAUAUUUCUGGACCGCAAAGUUUUCAGCACAGUAAGACCAGGUCCACAUCUGCGGGUAUCUAGAUCAGUGACAUGCAGUAGGCAGAGCCCAACGCCUGCCCGAGUCUGUGCGUUUCGUCACCUGAUGGUCCAGGGGGCUGUUCAGAGGCCUAAAGAAGAGCGCCCAGUGGCAUAGCGCCUUGUGUGCCCUUGCCACUGUUCUCCACGCACACGCAUUUCUGUAUGUGGCGCUGUUACCUGUAAAGUGAAAGACUGGAAGCAACCUAAAUGUCCAAGAUUAGGGAAAUUUUCAUCGAUACUGUGUUACAGCCAAGUGCUGUAUAUUUUGUAGCUAUUCCAGCAAUCCAUAUAAUAUUAGGUAGCAAUGUGGGAGAAGAAUUCAAAUAUACAUUUAAGUGAAAAGGUAAGACACAAAAUGAUUUGUAUGCUUUAACACAACUUAUAUAAAAGUCAGUGCACAUGGUGGGGAGGGGGAAGUGGAAGAACAUACCCAGACCUGAUGAGUAGUUCCUGUUCUAGGGUAGUAUGGUUAUGGAUAGUUUCCUCCUUAGUUUCAAAAUUGUCAUAGUAUUACUACAUUGCUUUUUGUAGAAAAUUAAGUAUAUCAUGCACAUAUACAUGUGUGCUUCUUCCAAGACAAAGUUUAGGACUUUGCUAGGUCUUGGAUUUUAAUAUUAUCAAUUAGAAAUUGAAGUAAUAGAAGUUCUUCUUCAAACUGGUUCAACCUAAGGGAAUUUAUUGGGAUUUAUCACUGGAAAGUUCAGAGGUGGGACCACCCCCAGGGUGAGCUGUUCCAGAGAUUCAUGGGAUCCUCGGUGCUGGGGUUCCACUUCUCCUGACUGCCUUCCUGCACAAAUCAGCAGACUUUUUGUCACACUUACUCCCAGCAGAAAAAUGGCUGCAGCAGCUCCUUAUUAGAGAAAGAGCAAGGUCAACUCUUUUCCAAACCAUUGAACAAGUUUUUGCUUCACACUGUGGACCAGUUGCUGAGACCAGGGACUGCUGCACUGGCUUAAGGUUACAUUAUGCCACCUGCAUAUCAGUGUGUGGUAAGCUGGUUACAGUCACAAAUAUUUGCUGCCCCUACCUGUGAGAGGAUUUUGCUUCCCCACCUCACUGACAUCAAACUUGGCCUCUCUUGCUCUGGCCAUUGAAAUGCAAAUACCGAUGUUCAAACCCAAAAUGUUUCAUAGCGGUUGAACGCUGCAGUUGGCUGCACUGAAACCAUUUUGUUCCUCUGUCAGGUGGAAGGGUUCAGAGCCACCCUGUGGUUUGCAGUCCUCCUUCCCGUCUGCUGCAGCUCCUGGCAUUAUUCCAGACAGAGGCUUCACGGUCAGCCAGGGCUUGAGGAUGGAGAUGAAACUCAUAGAGCCACAGCCAAACCGAGGUGCCAGCGUAGCCUGAGCUGCACCUCUGUCACUACAAGCUGCUGGGAUUUGCCAGAUGUUUGUUACUGAACAUAACCUGGUCUCUCCUGACUGGGCCUGAGUCCUGCCUUAGCCAUUUCCGAUCUAUGUGACCUUGGACAAGUGACUUCAUUUAUCGAUGCUUACUUACGUGAUUCAGAAAUAGAGAUGAUAUGUACAAUUCCUGGUACAAGCUCAAAAAUGACAACGAUCAUUAUUUGUUGAUAAUAAGAAUUACCAUUCUUAACUCCCAUGGGGGAUUUUCUUCUAACUAACCUCAGUGAUUCUCAGCGGGCGAUCAAAGUGCUGCCAUCUGAAAAAGGAGGUAUAUUGUGUUCCUUUUCACAAAGGCAAAGUUACAGACUCCAAGUCUCAAUAUAUACACUGAUUAUCUGUAGAUAGAACAAGAACUUCUUCCUCAAAAUAUAAGUGUUAGUUCCUGGAAUGCACUUAUUGUUUUUUUUUUAAGGAAUGAAAAAAAAAGAUUAACCCAAAAUUUCAUAUGGGAAAAAUGCUUUUUCACGUUCAAUACCAAAAUGUGAUAUAACUUUUCAACACUACAGUCUGGCUUCACUGAAGUAAUUUUGUUCCUUCUGUGAGUUAUCUAUUAUUGAAGAUAGUCAGGCAACGGAUAUUGAAAUAAAUGAUUUUUCUAUUCCAUUGUGAAAACUCUUGUAUUCCCUGCAUCCCUUCCCACAGAGUGAUGUAUUCUUUUGUGUGUGUGAGAGAGAGAGAGAUUAUAGUCAGAUGAAUGCAAUUUAAAAGUAAAAUUUCCACUUUCUUUUUAAAUUGAGAUUAUAAUUACAUCUAGACUUGAAUCUAAGUUGACUUGAUUUUGUAAUCAAUAAUUAUUUUACAUUAUGGAACACAUUUUCUAUCUUAGACAUCCAUCACUGACAUCUGAUGUCUGAUACAUGUUUCAGAUAGUGUAGGUUUUAUCUUGCUUAGAUUUCUGGUAUCCAGUAAUUAAGGUAUGAGGCAAUUAUUUGUCCCUUAAGAUAAAAAAUGUGCUUUGAAAAAUGUAGUGUAAACUAAGUCAUGCCUCAAAUGCAUUAGAGCUGUAGUUCUCACACACUGCCGUGUAGCAAAGCUACUAGAAACUUUACACACACACACACACAUGUACAUUUCUGGGCCCUACCCAAGGACUUGUGAAUUACAGUCUUUGAAAGUGGGGCUCAAAUUUUUGUAUUUAAAAAGGCUUCUCAGACAUAGAUCUUGGCUUUUAAAUAUUAUUCCCCACCAAAAGAAACUAAAGAUCCUCGGUGAAGUGGCUGAUUCUAGGGCCAAGAUGGGAAAAAUAUAAAACAAGCUUAGAACAUUUUCUUGUGCCAGAAAGAAAGUUGCUCAAAGAAUGGUGGGGGUCAUGUUCAGGAACACAGAAGCCGACUUGAUGGGGCGCUCGAUGGCCACAUUUGGGAAAGUUUGAGCAUGAAAAUAAAAGAACAAUGUAGCUUAUAACCCAUUGAAUAAAAUAAGUCAGUAUAGAUAUAAAAAAGGAAGGAAGGAAGGAAAGGGUCUUACAAUAGAACACCAACUAGUAAAUGGAGACGGACGGAAUAAUGCAAUUAAAAAAUCACCAGUUGGGCAAGAAUCGUCAAUAGAUGCUAAAACCAAUGGGUGAGAGUUUAAUGAGGAAUAGAAUAUUUUCAUUGUCUCAGAGUAUCUUCCCAUUAAUUACUUGUUAAUAAAAAAAAAAAGAAAAAUAGUGAAAAAGCCUGGCAGGUACCACCUGUACUGGCUUAAAUGGUGCCCCCCAAAGAUUUUUCCACGUUCUAACCCCCAGGAUCUUUGAAUGUGACCUUAUUUGGGGAAAAAAAGGGUCUUUGCAGAUGUAGUUAAGUUAAAGAUCUCAAGAUGAAAUCCUCUUGGAUUACUCAAGCUCUAAAUCCAAUGACAAGUGUGUUUAUGAGAGACCAGAAGAGGAGGAAGGCCAUGUGAAGAUAGAAGCAGAGGUUGGCAUGAGGCAGCCACGGGAAAUGCAGACAGCCACUAGAAGCUGGAAGAUGCAAGGAAGAAAGAUUAUACCCUAGAACCUCCAGGAGUACAGCCCUGACAACACCUUGAUUUUGGACUCUGACCUCCAUACUGUGAGAGAAGGCUCUUCUGUUUUAAGCCACCCAAUUCAUGCUAACUUGUUAGGCUAGCCCUAGAAAACUAAUAUACCACCUUGACCAGAUGAUCAGUUAACAUCACCAAUAAAGGCUUUAACCUGUAUCUCAUGGUUCCUGACGAGAUGCCCUGAGAAGUUCACAGCAUUGCUCUCAUAAUGUUUCUGCCAAAAUUGCACAACCUGAAUCUAAUCAUGGGUACAUAUCAGACACAACCAAACUGAAAGCCAUUCUACAAAAAGUAGUCUGUACUCUUGAAAAAUACUGAGGUUUAAACACCAGUGAAAGUCUGAGAAACUGCUCUAGAUUAAAGGAGAUUAAUUCUUAAAGGAUAUUUAGUGUCAUUGCUAGGAAGUUAGCCUAUAGAUACACAAGCACACGUGCCCUGGGAAAAUGUGCAUAGAUAUCUAUCUCAACAUUGUUGGUAAUAACAAAGAUAUUUUUAAAGAAGCCACAAAACAACCAAAACAUCAAUCAGUGGUGGUCAAAGAGUUAUAGUACAUCUAUAUAUACAUACCUGGUGUAAAGAAUUAGGGAAAGGUGUGUAGGAUGUACCACUAGGUAGAUAAAGCAAGCUGCAGAACUCUAAAAAAAAAAGAAGAGAGAGAGAGACUAAAACACAUGAUAACAAAAUACAACAUGUGUCCUUCACUGGAGUCUGGACUGUGAAAAGCAUUGUCAUUUUGGGGAACAAUUGGCAAAAGUCGGAUAUGGACUGUGGAUUGAAUAAUAAUAUUGUAUUAUAUUGAAGUUCCUGUUUUUGUUACUCAUACUGUGACUAUUCAAGAGAAUAGCUUUGUUCUUAGGAAAUACAUACUUAGUAUUAAGGGGUAAGAGUGUAUCCUCCCUGCAGCUUAGUCCCAAAUGAUUCAGAAAAAAAGUGGGAAAGAAAAAGAAAAAGUACAUCUGGCAAAUGUUAGCAAGUGGGACAUGAGCGUUCUUUGUACUAUAAUUGCGAUUUUUCUGUACAUUUGUAGUUAUUUCAAAACAAGAUGUAAAAAAAGAAAACUUACUGGAUUAUUAUAAUGUGUAACCACCACGUUAAAAUUUACUUUUAGGGCAGCUGUUCUCAUCUGGGUGAUUUCACCUCCCAGAAAACAUACAGAAAUGUCUGAAGACAUGUUUGCUCAUCAGUGACUGCACAGGAUGGGGAAGAGUAGGUGGAUCGGAGAGGCACUGCUGGCAUCCAGUGUUUAUAGAGGUCAGGGGUGCUACUAAAAUAGUAACGCGCAGGGGACAACCACCCACAACAAGUAGUUUUCCAGCCUCAAGUGUCAAUAGUGCCACUGUUAGGAAACCUUGCCUUACGAAAAUUACACAUCUCCAGUAAUAUAACCAGAUUCUAAAUACUUAUGGGAAA